rnacentral:lncRNA from 1 species
GAAACAGAAACUUGGAUCUGCAAGAAGGAGUGGAGAGCAGCAGAAGUGAUCAUUCAUUCAGGACAUGCUGCAUCUGGGGUUGGCAUCAUUUCCCUUUUGAAUGACAGAAUGUGCAUAAAAGUCUCUUGCCCACGCUGAACUCACACGUGCCCGGCAGGAAGGAGCUCUCACGAAGUGCCAGCUGGAUGUGAGCUUGCUCUGGCAGCAGCAGUGCUGUCCUUGUUUCUGAGCUGCCACCUAUUCACUGGAGUUAGGUGGGUCAAAGCUGAAAUUUAGCUUGGAAUUUAAGUUUCUAAUUUUAUACUUUUCAUUGUGGUCUGGUCAGAUUUUAGUCUGCUUCAAAAUCAAAAGGUCACUCAGUCACUCUAAUAUGAUCAUUUUGAAUAUGGAAAUUUGUUAUUUACAUGCUGUACCUCAAAUCAAAGAAAAAGCACGCGUCAAUAUCACGCGUAGGAAAAACUAGAAAAUUGUUCCUUUUCCAUUUUGCCACCCUGCUCAGUUUUCCUCAUAAACGGUUCCAGCUUGGAAAACAAGAGCUUCCCCUCUCAGACAGAUGCAGCAGCGGGAGGAAGGGCUUUGGUCUUAAACUAGAAGCUGCAGCUGAAACUCUCCCCGUCUAAUCCUGCUGUGUGUAUGGCUCACACCAUCUUUCCUGAGUGGGGAAAACCGCUGGCACUGAAUAGCUGAAAGGCUCGCUGAAAUCUGUGCUUCAAGAACGAGUUAAAGACAAUACAAUAAAACACAUAGACACUGAAGGGGUUCAACUAAUGUCCAUCACUUAUUCUGCUAAUGUCAGUGCCUUUCAAUAAACUUCUCAACAUCUGUGUUGGUAAACUUCUCAAUAUUUGUUCUAGCCCAACCACGGUGACAAAGCUCCCUUGCCCAAAGAUCGUGAGCCUAGACAAAGGUGGAUAAGAAAUAUGAAGUCUAAAGCUAUAGAAUAUAGCAGUUAGUGAAGUAAAUUAAACAUGCCCCUCGCCUGCAUGCUGAUCAGAGUGUUGAAACUGAAGACGACAUUGGCAAAGUGACUCAGACCCACAGCACAGAUUUGAUCAAGGGCACAGCUCAUAAAAAUAGCAACAAUUUCGAAUUCUCCUAUCCAACGUUUAGGAAACAAUCCAAUGGCAAGAAAUGAGAGGAGUUCAAUGCCAACAGUUUGACCUGUGGGCAAUCAACCUAUAAGUCCUCAA